UACAGAGACCUCAAGCGUUAUCCGGAUUUAUUGGGCGUAAAGCGUAGGUAGGCGGUUCUGUUAGUCGGAUGUCAAAGACCGGGGCUCAACCCCGGGAAGGCAUUCGAAACGGCAGAGCUAGAGAGUGUGAGAGAUCAGUGGAAUUUAUGGUGUAGUAGUGAAAUGCGUUGAUAUCAUAAAGAACACCCAAGGCGAAGGCAACUGAUUGGCACAUUUCUGACGCUGAGCUACGAAAGCGUGGGUAGCGAAUGGG
rnacentral:rRNA from 1 species